rnacentral:rRNA from 1 species
AAGAACUUUGCGAAUGGAGUUCAAAGACUGUGAAACCAUCACGAGGUUAAAGCGAAUUAGACAAGUGGCUUUGUCAAGCGAAGUGCAGUGUCUUUACGACACGGUGCCUGUUUCACCCGAGCUGCGUGUAUGGUCGCUACGGUAUGACGUUCUUUAGUCUCUAGAGAGAACCUAUCCGGAAAUUAAAGCGCGAUAAUGCGGGGUUAAAACGUCUCACGCGUUCAGCGGCAGCAAUGUCGUUGGACCGUAAGGCUCCUGCAGUAAGCGUUCCGGGGUUAUAUGGGUCUAUGCCGUGGUUAUGCACUGUCGCUGCUGUUGGGUUUUGAGCUUGCACCAGCACUUCCUAUUGGACGAGCGCAGCGGUCGUUUCUGCGGUGUUGUCGGCUCUUGCGAGCUCGGUCGGGAACCGUUGCGNCUAAUCUCUCGUUCUUUUAGGGCGUGAGAUGCUUAAAAGGCGGCAGCGGGGACGACUGGGCGAUGAGAGUCGCGGCGGACGCUUGAAAACGAUGAAUGAGAGGACGUCUGCCGGAGACGCGAAACUUUUACGUUCGCGAAAAAGCUCCGACGGACUUUAAAUAGUGCCUUCGCUGCGUUUGGCAUUAAAAUGCCGGCUACACGUUUAUUCGUCCCGUCUUGAAACACGGACCAAGGAGUCUAACAUGCGUGCGAGUCAAGGGGAACUUAACACCCCACGGCGCAAGGAAAGUGAUGUUUGCAUUACGCGGGCUGAUCCGCUACUAUUUUAAAUGUAGCGGCGCAAGCCCAGGGCUCGCUCUUGGUGGCGAGUACCUGGAGCACGCAUGAUA